rnacentral:rRNA from 1 species
AGUGAACGCUGGCGGUAGGCCUAACACAUGCAAGUCGAACGGCAGCACAGUAAGAGCUUGCUCUUACGGGUGGCGAGUGGCGGACGGGUGAGGAAUACAUCGGAAUCUACUUUUUCGUGGGGGAUAACGUAGGGAAACUUACGCUAAUACCGCAUACGACCUACGGGUGAAAGCAGGGGAUCUUCGGACCUUGCGCGAUUGAAUGAGCCGAUGUCGGAUUAGCUAGUUGGCGGGGUAAAGGCCCACCAAGGCGACGAUCCGUAGCUGGUCUGAGAGGAUGAUCAGCCACACUGGAACUGAGACACGGUCCAGACUCCUACGGGAGGCAGCAGUGGGGAAUAUUGGACAAUGGGCGCAAGCCUGAUCCAGCCAUACCGCGUGGGUGAAGAAGGCCUUCGGGUUGUAAAGCCCUUUUGUUGGGAAAGAAAAGCAGCAGGUUAAUACCCCGCUGUUCUGACGGGACCCAAAGAAUAAGCACCGGCUAACUUCGC